rnacentral:rRNA from 1 species
UGGGGAAUAUUGGACAAUGGGCGCAAGCCUGAUCCAGCCAUGCCGCGUGAGUGAAGAAGGCCUUAGGGUUGUAAAACUCUUUCGCCGGGGAAGAUAAUGACGGUACCCGGAGAGGAAGCUCCGGCUAACUUCGUGCCAGCAGCCGCGGUAAUACGAAGGGAGCUAGCGUUGUUCGGAAUUACUGGGCGUAAAGCGCACGUAGGCGGACUUGUCAGUCAGGGGUGAAAUCCCAAGGCUCAACCUUGGACCUGCCUCCGAUACAGCAAGCCUAGAGAUCGGGAGAGGUGAGUGGAAUUCCUAGUGUAGAGGUGAAAUUCGUAGAUAUUAGGAAGAACACCAGUGGCGAAGGCGGCUCACUGGCCCGAUACUGACGCUGAGGUGCGAAAGCGUGGGGAGCAAACAGGAUUAGAUACCCACGUAGUCCCUGAGCGGGCUGGCAAGGCGCAU